rnacentral:lncRNA from 1 species
UCUCUUAUAAAUGUCCUGUGUUUUUUUCUCGAAAGUUUCACGCUCAAGCCAUUGAUGUAUCUUUUUAUUUCUAGAGUCCAAUAGAAAAGCAGCUGCAAAUGAUGUGCCAAACUACACAGCAAAGAAGCAAAGGCUAUGCGACGUGCAAGAUUCCAAGAGGAAAGUUGACGAAACAGUCGAACCUAGAUAUCCAUCUAAGAAGCAACGAGUAUGCAGCAUACAAGAAAAGGGUCCUGUCUGCCUUCCUUUUCAAGUGACUGGAGUGAAUGAUAACCAAAGUGCUGACAGAACCACAAUAGAAUGCCUCGGUACUUCCCCGGAAGAGCCUGUGCAAUAAGGUAUUGUUCACUUGGAAACACUUUGGCAGCUUCAAGUCGGCAAGAAGAUUGGGAUCAAGAAAAGGAGAACAACACUCUUGAUUAGAAUAUUAGAAUGUUUUUGGAAUACGAGGAUGAAAUAGUGUAAAGUACAAAUGUGUUUAUAAUGAAACUUAAAACGAUCAUGAGAUGAAAUUUAAAGUAAUAUAUUGACUGUAAGAUCGGUGAACAAAGGCAACGCGAACAUUUAAACUACAUUCUCUUUUAUACUAGUACUCUUCAAGAUGGUAACAUCUAAAGGAAUAUUAAUAGGAAACUGCAAUGUUACGUAUUAUACUUGGUAAACAAGUAACACCCAUUCCGUGUAUAAAACAGAGAAGAUACAGACAUCAUUUGCCAAAUCGUAUCAUUUUGUGUACCUGAUCCUGCCAUCAUGGUCACUUUACCAAAGAGAAGAAGAAUUGGUGAAAAUGCCGAAAUGAUUUAUAUAUUUUUAUAAAUUUACAAAAUAUUUGAAAUCUCAUUCAUUUUUAAUAACAACGAUUUCAUCAUCUUCAUUGUCAUUCGUUACACACCUUUUCAAUAAGAAGGCAAAAGGAUAUUUCAGAGAAAGUUUUAUUGACUCUACUUCUUAUAAUCGUACACUUAAAUCUUCAAUGAAAUGAUUUCAUUUUUAUAUGACAGAAGAAACGUAUUGUGUGAUGGCGCUGGUAUUCUGUCUGUCUGUACACACAUACGUGCACAUGUCUGUUAACAAUUUCAUCCUCCUGAUUUUGAUGUCAUGGGUCAAAGUUUAAAAUAAGAGUAACCAUUAGCUAAAAUUGGACAUUCACCGUGAACCCCUCCGCUCAAUAACUUCAGAAUGUUUGACAUAUGAUUCACAAAUUUGAUACACACAUUGCUUCGGGCGUAUUGUGCUGUGCUCAGUGGUGCCUGUGUUGUUAUUUGUAAAUGACUGAUUUAUAAAUGCUAUCGUUUUCAAAUGUUUGAAUGAAAGAUAACUAAUAUUUCUAGGGCUUCCGUGGCCGAGCGGUUACGGUCUCUGGCUUCGAAUAACCUGCCGCUCAUAUAAGUUUAAUUUCUAUAUGUCAUAGUUAAACAUAUCUUUGCAAGUACUACAUUCGUUACUAUUUCAAGACAAAUAAUUUAUAUGCUACUGUAUGUGUCCUUUUUUAAAAUGUUUAUUCAAAAAUUUGCGAUAUAUUAUUUUAUGUAAACAAAAUGUUGCCUCUAGACUUCAGGGUGUUUAUAACACGUUUGAACGUCUAUAUAUUGUUUCAAAUUUCACACAUUGAUAAUGAUAACAAUACAAAAAUAAAUGCAAUUUGAUAUUUACAAGGUAAUAUUAGUGUCAACAUUAUAUGUGUACAUAGUGUUUAAAGACAGACGUUUUUCAAUACUUUAAGCAAUACGUUUUCGUAUAUUUUGUUAGAGAUUUAAGGAACAAACAAACCCAUUAUAUAGUUUUAGAUCCCUAUUACAAAUGUAUGUUUUAUUGUUUUUUUACACAUUUUUUUAUCAUUAUCACCCACUUUAAUAUGAUAUUUUACCAUUUAAUUUAUAUUUUACAUUUGCAUCUGAUUUUGGGAUAUUUCAACAAUCUGAACGAAAAGGCAAGUUUUAAGACUGUGGAUAGUUUCAGAAUUCGUUUAUUUCCAUCUUGGCUGUGCAAAUAUAAUACAAUAUGCCUCAUAUUUAUAUCAAUUCUGUAGCAAAGUAUGUUGUCAAAUUUAUACUUCUGCUGUAUUAGAUUAACCUUGGUUGGGCAAUCAAAUUUUAAAAACACCACUAGUAAAAACCAACAAGUAUUAUGAACAAAAAUAAGUGUAAAUGAUCCGAUGUUAAAUCUUCGAACUAAAUCUCAAAUAUGAUAAAUCACAUUUAUUAACAGUGCUGCCUAAACGCACAUUCAGAUACAUGUAUAUUUACAAUAUUUUAUUUAAUAUUUUAUUAACAUGUUUCAUUUUAACUACAUAAACAUAGUGCUUUUGUAAUAGUGUGUUAGUGAGUUUAUAUGAGUAUGCAUUCAUCUCUGAUGAGGCACAGAUCAGAAACAGCUUAUGCGAUGGAUGAAGUUUUGAAAAUUUCGUACAGGCAGCUGAACAAUU